rfam:Brassica napus, WGS project CCCW01000000 data, contig: 3993
GUGACAGAAGAGAGUGAGCACACAUGGUGGCUUUCUUGCAUAUUGGAAGAUCUCAUGCUUGAAGCUAUGUGUGCUCACUCUCUAUCUGUCAC